AGUUCAAGAGUACGUGAAACUGCUUAGAGGUUAAGCCCGAUGAACCUGAAUAUCCAUUAUGGAAAAUUCAACAUUAAUAUUAUAAUAUUUAUUUAUAAAUAUUAUAAAAAUAGUGUGCAAUUUUUCCAUAUAAGGACAUUGUAAUCUGUUAAUGUUAUAAAUAUUUAUCAUAAGAUUCAGUAUAUAAAAGUUUAUUCAAAUUAGUUAUUUUCCGAUUUCUAACAUAGAAUAAAUUUAAUUGAAUUUGAUAAAUCAUUGACAGAUUUAUUUAUAUAUAGUGCUUAAAUUCUUAAUUGAAUUUUACAAUAAUUUAUAAAUGUAUUUUCAUUUAUUUAUUUAUUGUAUGCACUUAUAUGAUUAACAAUGCUAUAGAUUCAGGAUACCUUCGGGACCCGUCUUGAAACACGACCC
rnacentral:rRNA from 1 species